rnacentral:rRNA from 1 species
GACGAACGCUGGCGGCGUGCCUAAUACAUGCAAGUCGAACGCAGUGGGGACGGGUGAGUAACACAUGGGUAACCUCCCAUCAGAGGGGAUAACACUUGGAAACAGGUGCUAAACCGAUACUGAUGGAUGGAACCGCGGUGCAUUAGCUAGUUGGUGAGGUAACGGUUCACCAAUGCCACGAUGCAUAGCCGACCCGAGAGGGUGAUCGGCCACACUGGGACGGCGCCACGGCCCAGACUCCUACUGGAGGCAGCAGUUGCGAAGCUUGGGCAAUGGACGAAAGUCUGACCGAGCAACGCCGCGUGAGUGAAGAAGGUUUUCGGAUCGUAAAGCUCUGUGGUUAGAGAAGCGGUAUCUAACCAGAAAGCCACGGCUAACUCCGUGCCAGCAGCCGCGGUAAUUC